ACCAAGCCAAACAUGGGGCAAUGCCCUUCAGUGUUUGAAGAUUGCCAGUGCCAGGCGUGACGUUGUUGCGGGGCCAUGUUGCCCUCUGCCCUUCCCCUGCCCUCAAGACUUUUGGGCUAGCAUUUUGAAGACACUUCUUUAUUUUUGCCAGAUGGGCGGGAUGACUACUUGUAUGAACAGAACUGAUCACCUGAGGCAUCUCCUUCUGCUCAGCACUGAAAGCCUGUAUGGAACUUCCACAGCAAACAACAGUUUUAUUGAUUACAGAAUCCCUAGCACUGUUUUCUUGCCACAAGAAAAAAAGUUGGAAACCAGCCAUCUUUAUUUUAAAGCCCUCCCCCACAUCAACCUGUUGCCUCAGCAACCAACGUUCUUACUAUCUGGCAGAAGACAGCUUUCUUUGGUUGAAUUGCAGCACAAAGCUGAAAGAGGAACAGAGGGGCAAGCCAUGAAAACUCACCAUUUCAUUAUUCGAAAAUGUGAAUUACCCUGAAAUGGAGCUGCUCCAAGAGGCAUCUGCAGGACCCUUCAACAUCCAUUCAAAUCCUUCAAUACCACAGUACUUCAUUUCCGUUAAUUAAAUAAUUACACCAAACUGUCUAACGAUAACAUUCAGCUGAAUUUGUGCAUUCUGAACUGCUCUUUGGUUUCAGUGAAGCCUGUAUUGUUUUCCAGGGAAUCACUGAAAGAUUGAGAGUUAUUUUCCUUUCCUAUAUAUAUAUAUAUGCUAAGGAAAAUAACUCUCAGAAUAUUAAAAUCCCCUUAAUAUUCUGCUGAAAUUACAGUGUGUUAUGUAAAUAGUCCAGAAAAUAAUACAGAAUGCAGAUCUUCAAAACCUCAGCUGCUCUUUUAAUCUUCAGAAAAUAACCUGAAGUUUGAGAUUAGUUAAUGUGCAUGUUUCCAAGGCAGAGCUCAGUGAAGCUGAUUAAAAAAGAUUACUUGUGCUUAUCUAAGAUAGAGCCCCAUUUUAUUAAUGGAAAAAGUAGCAGUAUUAAUUUGGUGGCUUCUUAGACACUCUUAUCUGAGUAAACCUGUCUAUGAGUGCAAUUUUAUUUCGGGUGUGGGGGGCAACUAAGAGAAAGUUGUGAAGGAGUCACAUCAGUUGUACUAUUAUAGGUCA
rnacentral:lncRNA from 1 species